rnacentral:rRNA from 1 species
UACGAAGGGUGCAAGCGUUACUCGGAAUUACUGGGCGUAAAGCGUGCGUAGGUGGUUUGUUAAGUCUGUUGUGAAAGCCCCGGGCUCAACCUGGGAAUGGCAAUGGAUACUGGCAAGCUAGAGUGCGGUAGAGGGUAGUGGAAUUCCCGGUGUAGCGGUGAAAUGCGUAGAGAUCGGGAGGAACACCAGUGGGCGAAGGCGGCUACCUGGACCAGCACUGAGCACUGAGGCACGAAAGCGUGGGGAGCAAACAGG